rnacentral:tRNA from 2 species
GGAACCUUAGCUCAUAAGGCAGAGCAUUCGGUUGAAGCCCGUUGCGGAUAGGUUCGAUUCCUAUAGGUUCCG